rnacentral:rRNA from 1 species
AUGAACGCUGGCGGCGUGCCUAAUACAUGCAAGUCGAGCGAACAGACGAGGAGCUUGCUCCUUUGACGUUAGCGGCGGACGGGUGAGUAACACGUGGAUAACCUACCUAUAAGACUGGGAUAACUUCGGGAAACCGGAGCUAAUACCGGAUAACAUGUUGAACCGCAUGGUUCAACAGUGAAAGACGGUCUUGCUGUCACUUAUAGAUGGAUCCGCGCCGCAUUAGCUAGUUGGUAAGGUAACGGCUUACCAAGGCAACGAUGCGUAGCCGACCUGAGAGGGUGAUCGGCCACACUGGAACUGAGACACGGUCCAGACUCCUACGGGAGGCAGCAGUAGGGAAUCUUCCGCAAUGGGCGAAAGCCUGACGGAGCAACGCCGCGUGAGUGAAGAAGGUCUUCGGAUCGUAAAACUCUGUUAUUAGGGAAGAACAAAUGUGUAAGUAACUAUGCACGUCUUGGCGGUACCUAAUCAGAAAGCCACGGCUAACUACGUG